rnacentral:miRNA from 1 species
UUUGUAUAUAUGUGUGUGUGUGUAUAUAUAUAUACACACAUUCACACACACACACACACACAUGCACACACACAUAU